rnacentral:rRNA from 1 species
CGCGGCGCCCACCGAGUUCCCUGGAACGGGACGCCAUAGAGGGUGAGAGCCCCGUAUGGUGGGAUGCCUAGCCUCUGUGGGGCUCCUCCGACGAGUCGAGUAGUUUGGGAAUGCUGCUCUAAUCGGGAGGUAAAUCUCUUCUAAAGCUAAAUACCGGCCAGAGACCGAUAGCGCACAAGUAGAGUGAUCGAAAGAUGAAAAGCACCUUGGAAAGGGGGUUAAACAGCACGUGAAAUUGUUGAAAGGGAAGCGCCUGUGACCAGACUCGCGCCGGGCGGAUCAUCCAGCGGUCUCCGCUGGUGCACUCCGCCCGGCACGGGCCAGCAUCGGUUUCCGCGGGGGGACAAGAGCGGCGGGGACGUGGCUCCCCCGGGAGUGUUAUAGCCCGCCGCACGAUGCCCCCUCGGGGACCGAGGUACGCGCUCCGCAAGGAUGCUGGCGUAAUGGUCACCGGCGACCCGUCUUGAAACACGGACCAAGGAGUCGUCCAUUACGGCGAGCGUUUGGGCGUCAAACCCCUACGCGUAAUGAAAGUGAACGCAGGUGAGAGCUUCGGCGCAUCAUCGACCGAUCCUGAUGUUCUCGGAUGGAUUUGAGUAAGAGUCGUAACGGACGGACCCGAAAGAUGGUGAACUWKGCCUGUAUAGGGUGAAGCCAGAGGAAACUCUGGUGGAGGCUCGCAGCGGUUCUGACGUGCAAAUCGAUCGUCAAAUAUGGG